rnacentral:lncRNA from 1 species
AAAAAAAAUUUCCUCCAAAAACAUAUCAAUCCACAGCAGAUUGCUAAUAAAUAGCCCCCAAUAUUUUAAAACAGGCCACGUCAUCGUAUUGGGCCCAUCGGAAGGGACGCGCGAGCGUGCGGGAAUCAGGAUUGGGGGAGGAAUGCCAACGCUAAAAUAUACGCGGUGGUAGGCUGUUUUUUAGCGUUGCUAAAAAAUUGGGGAAGGUUUGGGUGGACUGUUGGAGUUCGUUUUUU